rnacentral:rRNA from 1 species
AGUGAACGCUGGCGGUAGGCCUAACACAUGCAGGUCGAACGGCAGCACAGUAAGAGCUUGCUCUUACGGGUGGCGAGUGGCGGACGGGUGAGGAAUACAUCGGAAUCUACUUUUUCGUGGGGGAUAACGUAGGGAAACUUACGCUAAUACCGCAUACGACCUACGGGUGAAAGCAGGGGAUCUUCGGACCUUGCGCGAUUGAAUGAGCCGAUGUCGGAUUAGCUAGUUGGCGGGGUAAAGGCCCACCAAGGCGACGAUCCGUAGCUGGUCUGAGAGGAUGAUCAGCCACACUGGAACUGAGACACGGUCCAGACUCCUACGGGAGGCAGCAGUGGGGAAUAUUGGACAGUGGGCGCAAGCCUGAUCCAGCCAUACCGCGUGGGUGAAGAAGGCCUUCGGGUUGUAAAGCCCUUUUGUUGGGAAAGAAAAGCAGCAGGUUAAUACCCCGCUGUUCUGACGGUACCCAAAGAAUAAGCACCGGCUAACUUCGU